rnacentral:rRNA from 1 species
GAUGAACGCUGGCGGCGUGCCUAAUACAUGCAAGUCGAGCGAACAGACGAGGAGCUUGCUCCUCUGACGUUAGCGGCGGACGGGUGAGUAACACGUGGAUAACCUACCUAUAAGACUGGGAUAACUUCGGGACACCGGAGCUAAUACCGGAUAAUAUAUUGAACCGCAUGGUUCACUAGUGAAAGACGGUUUUGCUGUCACUUAUAGAUGGAUCCGCGCCGCAUUAGCUAGUUGGUAAGGUAACGGCUUACCAAGGCAACGAUGCGUAGCCGACCUGAGAGGUUGAUCGGCCACACUGGAACUGAGACACGGUCCAGACUCCUACGGGAGGCAGCAGUAGGGAAUCUUCCGCAAUGGGCGAAAGCCUGACGGAGCAACGCCGCGUGAGUGAUGAAGGUCUUCGGAUCGUAAAACUCUGUUAUUAGGGAAGAACAAAUGUGUAAGUAACUAUGCACGUCUUGACGGUACCUAAUCAGAAAGCCACGGCUAACUACGUG